CAAGCCCUCGCGGCUUCAUCAAAGAGCUUCUGACCCUUGCCUUCCCGGGACAAUCACCGGGUCUGCAGCUAAAAGCCGGAUUCUUGAGGCCAUCGGCAAGUCAGGCCGACAUUGUGUAACUUUUUCUCUUCCUCAUUGGCAUUUCAUGUUCGUUUACCUUAUUUUAGCCAGUCCGAUUCUUAAUUUAUUUCAACAAUCAGGAUAAACAAAUGUGUACACAAACGAAUUCUAGCUAAGGCCGAUGAAUUAUUAGAGAAUGUUCUAGCCGGUCGUCACGAGGCUGUCGCCGCUGGGUUUUACAAGCGCCCCUCCCUCGGCGUGGUAAUCCUGGGGGGCCAUCCCUUGCCGCGCGAUCUGAUCUCGGGUUGCCACCGGAGCGGCUGCCGAGCCUCGCAGAGCUCCCGGCCGCCUUCCCAGGACCUGGAAUUUUAAACUUCGCAAAUGGGGCGUCUCUUUACUCGGUGGCGGAGGACAGAGCGGCCUGGAGAGCCGUCCGACCCGGGAAACCCACGCCUUUCUCCCGGCGACGCGCCGACUGCGGAGGCUGCGAGGAGCGGCCUGCUGAGACGAGAUGAUGGUCUUCCUAUGUUGCCCAGGCUAGAUUUGAACUCCUGCAUGCAAGCGAUCUUCCUGCCUCAGCCUCCUGAGUAGCUGGGACUGCAGGUGUGUACUGAUGCACCCAGCCUUGGCCAGCCUUAAGCCACACUGUAGACAUCAUGACUUCAUCCUCUGGAUCUCAGUCUUCUGUUGUCCUCAGCCCUGUUAUGGUCGACUUCUUCUAACUGCAGGGAGCUAGAAGUCAGAGAAAUGUGUGAUCUUGUUUUCUCUGCCAUGAUGUUCCAAAGAGGCACCGGGGUACGACUGAGAGGCUGUGGAACUCAGCAGACCCUCUUCAGUCAGCCCUCAUGGUAUGUUGUCUGGUAAACUGACUUCAGGAUAGAAGGUAUGGCACAAGUGCCUGACUGUUCGUAGGUGCUGGACAAAUGUGGGUUGAAUGACUAAAUAAAUGAGGAGUGAAUAAAUCAAUAUAUGCCACGAAUACCGCCAUACAGUUACAGAGUUACUACCAACAGAAACUACAUUCCUAAGUGAAACUAUAAAUCAUUUUUAUAAUAAAGUAAAAGUUUAUCUGA